rnacentral:rRNA from 1 species
GUGUCAGCAGCCGCGGUAAUACGAAGGGGGCUAGCGUUGCUCGGAAUGACUGGGCGUAAAGGGCGCGUAGGCGGUAUGGACAGUCAGGUGUGAAAUUCCCGGGCUUAACCUGGGGACUGCAUUUGAUACGUUCAAACUAGAGUGUGGAAGAGGGUCGUGGAAUUCCCAGUGUAGAGGUGAAAUUCGUAGAUAUUGGGAAGAACACCGGUGGCGAAGGCGGCGACCUGGUCCAUUACUGACGCUGAGGCGCGAAAGCGUGGGGAGCAAACAGGAUUAGAUACCCUGGUAGUCCACGCCGUAAACGAUGUGUGCUGGAUGUUGGGUGACCUAGUCACUCAGUGUCGUAGCUAACGCGAUAAGCACACCGCCUGGGGAGUACGGCCGCAAGGUUGAAACUUAAAUGAAUUGGCGGGG